UACGUAGGGGGCAAGCGUUGUCCGGAUUUAUUGGGCGUAAAGAGCGUGUAGGCGGCCAGGUAGGUCAGCUGUGAAAACUCGAGGCUCAACCUCGAGACGUCGGUUGAAACCACUUGGCUAGAGUCCGGAAGAGGAGAGUGGAAUUCCUGGUGUAGCGGUGAAAUGCGCAGAUAUCAGGAAGAACACCCGUGGCGAAGGCGGCUCUCUGGGACGGUACUGACGCUGAGAAGCGAAAGCGUGGGGAGCGAACAGG
rnacentral:rRNA from 1 species